CCUACGGGAGGCAGCAGUGGGGAAUAUUGGACAAUGGGCGAAAGCCUGAUCCAGCCAUGCCGCGUGUGUGAAGAAGGCCUUCGGGUUGUAAAGCACUCUCAGUGGGGAAGAAAGCCUUGGGGCUAAUACCCUCGAGGAAGGACAUCACCCACAGAAGAAGCACCGGCUAACUCCGUGCCAGCAGCCGCGGUAAUACGGAGGGUGCGAGCGUUAAUCGGAAUUACUGGGCGUAAAGCGCGCGUAGGCGGUCUGAUAAGCCGGUUGUGAAAGCCCCGGGCUCAACCUGGGAACGGCAUCCGGAACUGUCAGGCUAGAGUGCAGGAGAGGAAGGUAGAAUUCCCGGUGUAGCGGUGAAAUGCGUAGAGAUCGGGAGGAAUACCAGUGGCGAAGGCGGCCUUCUGGACUGACACUGACGCUGAGGUGCGAAAGCGUGGGUAGCAAACAGGAUUAGAUACCCCAGUAGUC
rnacentral:rRNA from 1 species